GUAGUAUUCCCUCCGUCUGGAAUUACUUGUCACAGAAAUGGAUGUUUCUAGACGUACUUUUAGUUCUAGAUGCAUCAAUUUUUAUCCAUUGAUGCGACAAGUAAUUCGGGAUGGAUGGAGUAGGAA
rnacentral:pre_miRNA from 1 species